ACCUGGUUGGCUCAGUUGGUUAAGCAUCUGACUUCGGCUCAGGUCAUGAUCUCGCUGUUCGUGAGUUCGAGCCCCACAUCAGGCU
rnacentral:tRNA from 1 species